AUACGUAGGUGGCAAGCGUUGUCCGGAUUUAUUGGGCGUGAAGCGCGCGCAGGCGGUCCUUUAAGUCUGAUGUGAAAUCUUGCGGCUCAACCGCAAGCGGUCAUUGGAAACUGGGGGACUUGAGUGCAGAAGAGGAAAGCGGAAUUCCACGUGUAGCGGUGAAAUGCGUAGAGAUGUGGAGGAACACCAGUGGCGAAGGCGGCUUUCUGGUCUGUAACUGACGCUGAGGCGCGAAAGCGUGGGGAGCAAACAGGAUUAGAUACCCUGGUAGUCCACGCCGUAAACGAUGAGUGCUAAGUGUUGGAGGGUUUCCGCCCUUCAGUGCUGCAGCUAACGCAUUAAGCACUCCGCCUGGGGAGUACGGUCGCAAGACUGAA
rnacentral:rRNA from 1 species